GGAAAAUGUGUCCUUGAAGCAACCAAUGGCCAUGGGGUGGAUGUCGUUUUAAAUUCACUUACCGGUCCUGGAUUCAUUGAAACCAGCCUUUCGUGUACAGCAACAGGCGGAACAUUCAUUGAGAUGAGCAAAUUGCAUAUUUUAGAAGACAACGAAGUCAAGAAGCUAAGGCCAGAUGUAGCUUACAAAGUUGAGGAUUUGAGCAGCCAUCCAGACCAGUAUAUGAAGAUAUUGUUCAAGGAACUGGAUUCAAGAUUACGCGAUAAAACAUUUGUCCCGCCACCUCAGAGGGUAUUUGAUGUGGUCGACAUUCGAUCGGCGAUACGAUAUCUGCAAGAGGCUAAGCAUAUAGGGAAAGUUGUCCUCAAGUAUCCAGAACCAAAUGCGCAACUUCAUAAUUCACACAUCUCUCUUACUUUUAAACUUCUCAGUGCUUCAGCUACCUACGUCAUCACUGGUGGGUGCGGUGGGAUUGGAUUUGAGGUUGGCAAGUGGAUGCUUAAAAAUGGGGCCGGCCAUGUGGUUCUGGUUGGACGAAGGAGUCCCGAGUGCCGAGUUAUGCGUGAAAUAGAGCAAAUUCGAAGUUCCUCGGAAACCGAAGGGGUGCUAUCAAUUUCCCAAGGCGAUAUUGGAGACAUGUCGUAUUGCGAGAAGCUUUUCAGCUGGAUUGAGACUAAAUGGCCAACAAUGCCUGUGAGAGGAGUUAUUCAUGCUGCAGGGGUUCUGGCCGAUGGAGUUAUUCCUAAUCAGACACCGGAAAGUUUUUUGACCACACAACAUCCGAAAGUUAGAGGUGGAUGGAAUCUGCACCAGUUAACCAAGGAUAUUAAUUUGGAACACUUUGUCGUCUUUUCGUCUGUAGUUGCAUUAUUAGGUUCUCCAGGGCAGAGUAACCAUGCGUUGGCAAACGCUUUCCUAGAUGGCUUGGUUAACUAUAGACAAUCUCUGGGGCUACCUGCUACAACUAUCAAUUGGGGUCAAUGGGGUGAGACUGGAGUAGCGGCAGGAAAGGUGGUAAAUAUGGUGAAGCCAUUUUCCACGAAGGCAGGGCUUAAAGCUUUAGAGUAUAGUCUAAAGUCAGGGGUUAGCCAUGUAUCUCCUGUGGAUAUAGAUAUUGAUGCGCUGGGAAAUAGCAUGCUUGCACCAUGGUUGACAACAUAUCUGGAGAAUAUUAUGAAUUCAGGCAGGAAUACCAGACGGAAUUCGAAUGUAUCGAAAUGGGAAUCAGACUCAGGUGCGGAAAUUCGAUUCCUUAUGGUAUAAACUGAAAGUAUGUGGCGACUCCAAUGAGGGUCGUUAUGGAGUAGCGAAGCCUUAUGUUGCUCGAAUAAUUGAAGGACUGCUCAAGUUGGACGACGAGCUUCUUCCAAAUGAGUCGUUACAAGAUCUGGGUUUGGAUUCAUUAAUGAUGAUUGAGAUGAAAAACGCGUUAUAAGGAUUGAUUGGGAAUAAGGGAAUAAUUCGAGUAGCAGACCUGGGAGAUUGUCAAACCUUGCAUUUAACAACCCUGACGUUGAUGAACAUAAUGUUUCCCAAAACAUCAGACCUUGGAAGUGCUAAUUUUAUUGAACGUAACAAAUUGAUUAAGAAUGAUUCAAUCCUUUGGGAAGCUACAAAUGGAUACAAUGCAAUCCAAGAGGUCCCAAUGUCUGCUGUCAAAAUUGUGUUAUUGACAGGAUGCACCGGUGUUGUUGGGCCUCACGUCUUGCAACAACUAAGUAGACUACCACAAAUAGAAUCGAUCUACUGUCUAGUCCGUCCACGCAAACGUGAAUCGGGAAAAGAUCGAGUAAUCCAUCGCUUAAAGGAACUGAACCUCUUAUCGACUUCCAACAUCGAAAAGAUCAUCCCACUUGACGGUGAUAUCGUGUCGGAAAAUCUGUCAUUGCAAAUAGAACUCUAUAAUCGACUUGCCAAUUGUGUCGACGCCGUAGUUCAUUGUGCUGGUCAAACCUCACACAUGGAAAUGUACGCACACUUUUCGUCCCAAAAUAUCGGCGUGCGAGCAAUAAAUGUUACCGGAACCCAAAAUAUUUUGAAAUUUGCUUGCACUACAAAGAGGAAGCACUUAUACAACGCGUCAACUUUACUCGCUAUACGGCUUCCCGCAAAUUAUGAAAACAAUUAUUUUGGCUACCCUGAAACAUUUCCUCAAGAUGGUGACUAAGGUCCAUCGUAUGGGUAUAUAAUCUCCAAAUUUAUUAGUGACCGUCUAGUUGGCCAGGCCGUUGAAAAAGGGUUGCCUGCAAAAUCGUUCCGACUUCCCAUGCUCUUUGGAGAGAGCAAGACUGGAAAGAAGACAAGCUUGGAGAAUGAUCAUUUAUUUUUGGAGAGUAUCUACUUCCUAAUGAACAGUAUCAUGCCAGAUAUAUGCUUUCCUCUCCAUGUAGCACCGGUAGACAUCGCUGUCGAAAUUACGCUCAAGUUAUUCUUUGACGAAAACGUUCCUAGUGGAAUGUUCAACAUCACAAAUCCUCAUGCAAGGAAUUACACGGACAUUGAAAAAAUUUCUGACGAAUUUGCUCCCAAACUUAGACUAGCGGAGGCAAUCUAUUCGUACUUGUACAACACGAAACCUACCUUGGAUAAGGACGAUGUCUUCACGAUACUGUCUGAUUUUGCCAGGAGGGAAGGUGGCGAUCCAUCAAAAAUUUCAUCUGUUGUCGAAAAUAUGACGUUUAACGACGACAUCACGUGCCAGCAAAUUUUAAAUAAACCCGGUAUCCAGACCUUGUUACGGGAAAGGUUUGUCACCCCAAUGAGGAAAGUUCCAUAUGAUGAUUUUGUGACAGACCUUCACAGCAAGGGUAAUGAAUCAUUGCUGUUUAAAUGGCUGGAUUAUUACUCCCGAGACGACGCGCUACCUCGAAACAUAGCAAAUGGAAAGCUUCAGCCCCAGCCAAAUUGGGUAGAGAAUAUGGCGAAAUUUCAGCUUGAAAGCUGCGCCAAGAUGAGAAAGUAUAUACCUAACGUGGAGGAAAUGAUUCCAGACCCUUUGGAAACAUUGAGGGCUGACUUGCAAUAUACGAUCGAUAAUAUCGAUUCGAGCUUGGGAAAUUUAUUGCGUGGGAAGGGGGAGAAGUAAGGACGAAAAAUUUGAAUAUGUAAAAUUUAAGAUAUGUACUAUCUACGUUUUCAUGUCUAAAAUCAUUUAGUAUAAUUUAGUACAAUUCCCGUCUUCAUAGCAAAUGCAUUAAUGACAAAUCUCUAAUUAAUUUCCAGGACUAUUUAAGAAUGUGUAUUAUAGCAUUAUAUAUUGCAUACCUACAUACAUACAUACGUACGUAUGCAGUUUAUGUAAAUACUUACAUGCAUAAAUUGUCGGGGGAAGCAAUUUCAACAAGACGGUACACAAAAAUAGAGUGGUUUCAAGAAAAUAUGUACAUAUGUAUGAAUAUCAUAAUAAAUACAUCAUA